UUGAUCCUGGCUCAGAUUGAACGCUGGCGGCAUGCCUUACACAUGCAAGUCGAACGGCAGCACGGGAGCAAUCCUGGUGGCGAGUGGCGAACGGGUGAGUAAUACAUCGGAACGUGUCCUGGAGUGGGGGAUAGCCCGGCGAAAGCCGGAUUAAUACCGCAUACGCUCUGUGGAGGAAAGCGGGGGAUCUUUCGGGACCUCGCGCUCAAGGGGCGGCCGAUGGCAGAUUAGCUAGUUGGUGGGGUAAAGGCCUACCAAGGCGACGAUCUGUAGCUGGUCUGAGAGGACGACCAGCCACACUGGGACUGAGACACGGCCCAGACUCCUACGGGAGGCAGCAGUGGGGAAUUUUGGACAAUGGGCGCAAGCCUGAUCCAGCAAUGCCGCGUGUGUGAAGAAGGCCUUCGGGUUGUAAAGCACUUUUGUCCGGAAAGAAAACCUCUGGGUUAAUACCCCGGGGGGAUGACGGUACCGGAAGAAUAAGCACCGGCUAACUAA
rnacentral:rRNA from 1 species